rnacentral:lncRNA from 1 species
AGGCAGAGCCGGCCCAUUGGCCAAGCUGGUGAAGCAUCAGCUUGCGGCCCUCGAUAUUAUAUAUAAAAUUCGGCCUUAUUUUACAAAAUUGUUCUUUAGUCCAGUGGUACAUGUAGUGCCAGUUAUGAGUGAUGCACCCCUGUUCGAAUAUCUUACUUGUAUUCAACCAGCCUUUUAUUAUUUUUUGAUUAUGGCCUGCAAAAUUUUAGAGACGGCUCUGGUUAGAGGACACACAUCAAAAUUGUCCCUUGGAAUAUGUCAAAGUAAGUUUUCGAUAGACUAGAUCUACUUUAUAUAUUUUGUCCAUCAUAUAUUACUUAGUCGAACUCCGGAUCGGACAGUAAAUUGGUGCUACUUAACCACUAUACUAAAGGACCUUCUCCAAAUGCUGCCCCUAAAAAUUAACUUUAAAUCUGCUGCCUAAAGCCCUUGCUUAUUGGGCUUUAGGCACGGGCCGGGCCUGAGUGACAAUUGUGACUUGGCUGUGAAGAACAAAAGAUAGAUGCUACUCAUGCUACCUUAUAUAGUUUACUCAUGAGUGACAAUUGUGACUUGUUUGUGAAGAACACCAAUUUGUUAACAAAAACAAUCUAAACGUUAACCAAAAUUCAAACUUUGUGUGCACAUUUUUCUCAUUAUAUAAAAAUACACAUUAAUGUACUACUUUAUUAAUAAAAAAAUACGCAUUCUUUUUAAGAAAAAUUAGAUUAGAUACACAAGACUUUUAAUGUUUAAAAUCCAUAUAUACAAUAGGAGGGGAAAACGGGGAAAAUCAACCCAAACUAUUUUCCGAAGGUAUUUUCAUACCCAAACUCGCGUACUCUGAAUUUUACAACCCAAACCAGCUUUCAAUUCAAAUAACCCACCUGAACCACAUCAAAUUUUGCCAAUUUCAACAUCGACGUUAACAGUAUCCUUGCUCAUCUUGAAAAUUUGGAUAAUCAAGCUUAAGCUUCUGUAAAAACUAAGAGAAAUUAAGCUUAAGCUUAAGCUUAAUUGUCCAAAUCUUCAAGAUGGGCAGGGAUACUGUUAUGUCGAGGUUGAAAUUGACAAAAUUUGAUAUAGUUCAGGUUGGUUAUUUGAAUUGAAAGCUGGGUUGGGUUGUAAAAUUCAGAGUACGUGAGUUUGGGUAUGAAAAUACCUUCGGGAAAUAGUUUGGGUUGUUUUCCUCGUUUUCCCUACAAUAGAAUAGUUCUCUCUCCAUUUGGAAUGUCCACCUACGCAUCCACAUAAGCAUUAUUCUUUUUACAUUAAAGUAAAUUUAAUGAAUACUUAUGUUAUUUAUAAUUAAUAGAAAUUUAUAUUAUAACAUAUGUAAAAUAAAUUAAAUUUUAAAAUAGUAAAACCAAAACUAAGAAAAUUUGUAUAAGUAAUUAUAAUGCGAGUUUUAGAAUGCAAGUACAUUUUAAAUGCAUUGUAGAAUAAUACACAAUUUCAGUACGUCAAACGGUUGUGAAGAACACCAAUUUGUUUAGAAGAACACAAAUUGGUGUUCUUCACAACCAAGUCACAAUUGUCACUCAUGAGUAAACUAUAAAAGGUAGCAUGAGUAGCAUCUAUCUUCAAACAAAUUGAUGUUCUUCACAACCAUUAAGACAAUAAGAACACAAAAUUUUACUAAACCGUUUGGUUACGACGUCGGAAUUGAAAACGAUCGAGUAAGAGAGAAGCACAAAAUCAAACCUGAGAGUCGAGAGAAGCACAAAAAUCAAACCUAAGAAGCGAUAGAAGCAGAAAAAUCAAACUUGAUGAGGAGCCAAUGAUCAGAAACACUUGAACGCAUAAAUCGCGAAAUCCAAAACCAGGAAGCAGAACGGAGCGAGCGAUCCUCAAGUUUUCAAAAUCAAAGUGGGG